rnacentral:rRNA from 1 species
GGGGAAUCUUCCGCAAUGGACGAAAGUCUGACGGAGCAACGCCGCGUGAGUGAUGACGGCCUUCGGGUUGUAAAGCUCUGUUAAUCGGGACGAAUGGUUCUUGUGCGAAUAGUGCGAGGAUUUGACGGUACCGGAAUAGAAAGCCACGGCUAACUACGUGCCAGCAGCCGCGGUAAUACGUAGGUGGCAAGCGUUGUCCGGAAUUAUUGGGCGUAAAGCGCGCGCAGGCGGAUUGGUCAGUCUGUCUUAAAAGUUCGGGGCCUAACCCCGUGAUGGGAUGGAAACUGCCAAUCUAGAGUAUCGGAGAGGAAAGUGGAAUUCCUAGUGUAGCGGUGAAAUGCGUAGAUAUUAGGAAGAACACCAGUGGCGAAGGCGACUUUCUGGACGAAAACUGACGCUGAGGCGCGAAAGCCAGGGGAGCGAACGGGAUUAGAUACCCCGGUAGUCCUGGCCGUAAACGAUGGGUACUAGGUGUAGGAGGUAUCGACCCCUUCUGUGCCGGAGUUAACGCAAUAAGUACCCCGCCUGGGGAGUACGACCGCAAGGUUG